AACCAGUCCAGAGAAAUGUACAACCCAGGGCCUGAGUAGUGCAAGUCUCCCGGAGUGGGGGAAGUCUAACCUUGAGCAGCUACUAUCUAGAUCAUGAGAACUGGAGACACGUGGAGGAUCUAGAAAUGGCUGACAGGAUCUGAGGCCUCAGGGAAUGAUCACAGCCUUACAAAACUAAAGAGAGGAGAGGGAAGUUGGGGAGAAAAGAUGGGGGUGACAGGCUCCACCAGCUUCUCGGAUGGAGCCAGCGCCCGUAUCCAUGCUAUCCGACUGCAAAGAGAGUCGUGGACGUGAAAAGAAAAGGCACAACAAGGGAGAGAGAACCUGCGCCCCGCGAUGGGCGCUGGGCCGUGCCGCCACCUACCGAGUCCGAGACGAAGCCUCGGGUUUGCAGGACCUUCAUACCCCAGACACCGAACCGAGCCCGAACUGCCAACGCCGAGCCUGCCAUUGUCUUCAGCGUUGCUCAGCUCGCGUUGCGGGC
rnacentral:lncRNA from 1 species